GCCGGUGUGAUGGAAUGGUAGACGUGACGGACUCAAAAUCCGUUGGUGGCAACACUGUGUGGGUUCGAGUCCCACCACCGGCA
rnacentral:tRNA from 1 species